ensembl:snRNA U6 U6 spliceosomal RNA
GUGCUCACUUUGGCAGCCCAUAUACUAAACUUGUAAGGAGACAGAGAAGAUUACCAUGGCCCCUGCACAAAGACGACGCGCAAAUUCGUGAAGCAUUCCAUAUUUUU